UUCAAGUUCUGAUUAUGUUCCGUACAUUUUUUUUUCUCUCUGACCUCUAGGUGGCAACCACUCCAAGCCUUGUGACAAGCAGUACGGCAACUCCCCUCACAGUCAACCCUGUCCUUCCCUUAACCAGCGCUGCAGUGACUAAUCUCUCUCUUACAGGCACUACAGACACCACAUCCAACAACACAGCCACCGUGAUUUCCACAGCACCCCCUGCUUCGUCAGCAGUCACCUCUCCCUCCUUGAGUCCCUCCCCUUCUGCCUCAGCCUCCACCUCUGAGGCCUCGAGUGCCAGUGAGACCAGCACAACACAGACCACCUCCACGCCUCUUCCCUCCCCUCUCGGGGCCAGCCAGGUGAUGGUGACAGCAUCUGGCUUGCAAACAGCAGCAGCUGCUGCUCUCCAAGGAGCUGCACAGUUGCCAGCAAAUGCCAGUCUUGCUGCCAUGGCUGCUGCUGCAGGACUCAACCCCGGCCUGAUGGCACCCUCACAGUUUGCUGCUGGAGGUGCCUUACUCAGUCUCAAUCCGGGGACUCUGGGCGGUGCUCUCAGCCCAGCCCUAAUGAGCAACAGUACACUGGCUACCAUUCAAGGUC